rnacentral:rRNA from 1 species
AGUGAACGCUGGCGGUAGGCCUAACACAUGCAAGUCGAACGGCAGCACAGGAGAGCUUGCUCUCUGGGUGGCGAGUGGCGGACGGGUGAGGAAUACAUCGGAAUCUACUCUGUCGUGGGGGAUAACGUAGGGAAACUUACGCUAAUACCGCAUACGACCUACGGGUGAAAGCAGGGGACCUUCGGGCCUUGCGCGAUUGAAUGAGCCGAUGUCGGAUUAGCUAGUUGGCGGGGUAAAGGCCCACCAAGGCGACGUCCCGGAGCUGGUCUGGGAGGAUGAUCAGCUACAAUGGAACUGAGACACGGUCCAGCCUCCUACGGGAGGCAGCAGUGGGGAAUAUUGGACAAUGGGCGCAAGCCUGAUCCAGCCAUACCGCGUGGGUGAAGAAGGCCUUCGGGUUGUAAAGCCCUUUUGUUGGAAAAGAAAUCCAGCUGGCUAAUACCCGGUUGGGAUGACGGUACCCAAAGAAUAAGCACCGGCUAACAUCGUGCCAGCAGCCGCCGUAA